rnacentral:rRNA from 1 species
AUCGAACGCUGGCGGCAUGCCUAACACAUGCAAGUCGAACGAGUGGCGCGCGGGUGAGUAAUGUCUGGGAAACUGCCUGCUGUUGGGGGUUAACUACUGGAACUGGUACCUAAUCCCGCAUACCAUCGGAUGUGCCCAGAUGGGAUUCGUUAGGAGGUGGGGUAACGGGUCACCUAGGCGACGAUCCCUAGCUGGUCUGAGAGGAUGACCAGCCACACUGGAACUGGGACACGGUCCAGACUCCUACGGGAGGCAGCAGUGGGGAAUAUGGGACAAUGGGGGCGAGCCUGAUGCAGCCAGGCCGCGUGUAUGAAGAAGGCGUUCGGGUUGUAAAGUACGUUCAGCGGGGAGACGGUACCCGCAGAAGAAGCACCGGCUAACUACGUGCCAGCCGCCGCGGUAAUUC